UGUGGUUCCUCCACAUAUUCCGUCUCGACCCAUAGAUCAGAUGGUACUUCUUGAUUCUUCCCGAUUAUAGCCGAUUCCGGCCAACCCCAGCCGAGCUGUCGGAAUAACCGCAAAUAAAAUUCAAUUUCGUAAAAGGCUUUUAAGAAAUUAAAUUCUAGAUGUUGCUGAUCCGACAGCUCGGCUAGGACUGAACUCUGGAUAUGUAUUUUCUAGAAACCUGCCAUUCGAAGGCCUACUUUGAUUAAGAUGGAAGGACUUUAAGGACACUUGAGACAGCAGCCAGGAAAGACGCCAGUGAACCGAUCCUUGUUAACGCAUGUGAUUUUUUGUUUGGAGCAACUGUUGAAUAGGAAAAUAAGGAUAAUAUUAAGGAUAUCCAAAGAUGUCAUCUACUUACUCCUCCACGAUGGUCUUGAAGGUGUCCGUGCAAAUGGCCCGCUUGAGACACUUUCCCUCCUUUCCAAAGUCCACAUAG